UGUUUUUGUAAACAAAAAAGUUGGUUCCAUGCAAUGCGCACUGUGUCCUUGAGCUGGAUAUCCCUCUACUAUAAAUGUGGUCAGGAUUCCAGCUAAAUUUAACUCCACUUCUCGGAAUUUUAGGUCAUCACACUUUACUUCCUCCUCUGCAACUUCUUGUAUUCCCCUUUCUAAUGGUCCCGAUCUCGAUCACCGCCCACGACCAAAAUAGACGUCCAAAACCGAAUCGACAACAGCAAAAGUCCUGCCAAAUGCACAAAAAAUCAACAAGGCUUCCAUUCCUGGGUCGGAAACUAUUCACCGAAGUUUAUCCUGCGAUAGUGGUUGAUAGUCUGUCUCGCUCGCUCGCCGGUGUUUGCGGCGCCGGCCGCGCGGGCGAGGGAGACGGCAUGGGAGGGCGGCCGCCUCGUGCUCGCUCAUGUUUAGUCACAAACGGAACCGAACAGUUUGCAAGUCGCCGGCUGCGCGCACGGCCGACCCACGCAGACUGUCCGUUGUGCUCAAAUCGUGAACUUUAUUUACUUCAACAAACUGUUUUUUUACUAAAACUUAAACAGUGCCUUGUUUCUAAUCAAUGGAUGUGCCAGUGUUCUCGCAUGGAUCCGCGAGUUUGGAGAACCUAACAUCUUAAAAGUGUCUGCCUGUGGAUUUUUGUGGCAUUUUGCAUUUGUGUCCUUUUGACGAACAAACGAAAUUAACAACAUACCUCAAAGUGACUAAAACAAGUGCUCUUAAAUGUAACUUCAAGUACAAAAUAUUUCAAGAAAGAUAUACAAACAAACAUAUUUUCUAAGUGAGAUAAAUGUAUUUUGCGAAGACUUUUUUCUUCUACCCCGUGCAUCCUUUGCCGCAGUCACCAUAUAACUGAAAAAUCAAGUCGGAAUUCUACGUUUCUCACAAGAUGAUACAAAAACAUUAGGUAAGUUCAUCUAUUAAAUAGUGUGUGAGCAGGAGCGGAGGGAAGUAAAGUUCAAUAAUUAUAUUUACAUUUCUAACUUAUAAUAAUUAUAUGUUCUAUCAGGUAUUUGCUGUACCUACUGAUGUAUUUCUAAUUAGAGUCUGCAUAUUCAAUAAAAAAUAAGUCAGUUGGAUUAUGUUAAUUGGAAUCAGAAGUGUUCUUAUUUACAAAAUGAUUAAUUAUCAUACCAUCUACAUCUAAAUUCUUGCAAGAAAUUUGAUUCAUCAAAGACGACAUUCAACAGAAAGAACCGUAGGUGUAUCAUAGUCGUAACAGCUCUUAUCAGAUCUACUCAUGUUUAGUUCAAUGCUCCUUCGCGGCUCAAUUGAGAUUUUUUUACUGACGCACCUACUUCAAGUAAUCUAUGUAUGUAGGCUGUGAUUGCUUGUGAUGUUGUUGUGGGUAGAUUUAUAUGCGAUACAGUUGAUAGAUCGAUAAAACUUGGUACCAUGUUUUCAGGAAUUUCUUUUGGUAUUACGCAAGACUUUACAUACCUACAAAACAGUGCAGGUAUGAUAUAUGUACAUAAUAUAUUAUCGUCAGUGCGUAUUAUGAAUCAAAAAAGAACUUAACUGUAUUAGAAUUUCAAUCUUUCCUAGCCGAUGCAAGUCACAUCUGAGAUUAGUUCAAAAUAGGAAUGAUUACAGUUAGCACCUUUUAAGAUAAUCACCACACUCUGUCCCCAAGGCAGGUCCUUGUUUGUCACAGAAUAACUGUUAUUGAGGCACGUAGCCAUUUUGUAAACGUCAUGCAGAGCACAGCUGCAUCUGUGGCGACGUCACCCAAACACACGUGCUUUGGUUAGUCAAUUAAUAUUCAUUCAUUCAUGCCAUUGCUUGUAACCUUCGUCGAUACAUGAAUUAAUCUUUUGUUCUUAUCUGGGCUUUGUUUCAAUUUCAAGUGCAUCCUCACUAGCAUUAUUGCUGUGUGUUCAGACUUAUUAGGUUACAUUAUUAUUGAGCCGUUCCGCUUCGUAUUUUAUACUUUCAAAGUUUCGCCGGUCAUCUUAAAACUAGUAUCUAACAGUUUAUAAACGUCGUUGUAAAUUUUCUCGGCUGUAUCACAGGCGAUGACUGUCGCACUGGCAAUUUCAUUGCACAAAUUGCAUACGAUCCGAAUGAUUCUGACUCGGCUAUUACCGUGAUUUGCGGUGCAAUCACUGCGGCCGCGUUCGUCUAGCGAAAAGAUCUAGGUACUUGCGCAGUUUCGUUUCUGGAUUUGGUAUGAAAAUCUCUAACUUCUUUGUAAGGUGUAACUAUUACCUAGAUAAUCAGAACGAUGAAAGAAUAAGGUGAAUUGUCAAUUAAAAUAGCGCUGCCAAUUGAAAAAAAAACACUUCAGUUUCAAAGCGUUUUUUCCGAAAACUGCCACGUUUCACGCCCUCUUUAUACUAAUAUUUUUUUUUAUACCCUACCUUCCAAAACCCAUUACCUAGAAUGU